CCCCUUGUAUAAUGUUAGUAUGUUUUCCGAGCCGAUCUGGGCAUGCGAGCCAUUUCUGGUCUGACCUACUACAAACCCUACAGUCGAUGGGCUCCCAUCAUAAUGGUCCGUCCGCUUGGAUGGACUUUUGGCUCGCUUCAGCUUAACGAGUCUGCCUCGUUCACAACUGAGUCCUGUGGACUUAGCCCACCAUCCUGGCCUAGACCCAUGUCCCCAUCCACUGAGCCAAGAUCCAUCAGCACUUGAAAAGGCCCACUCACCCAUUCUGAGUCUACUAAGCUCGCUCGCCCGAGUUCACCACUCGUUGAGCCCUUGUUCGGAGAUCUGUGUUGAGCCAUCUUCGUCGGCUUCUGCCAUCCAUCCAAGUCAAGUGGUAAGCCGGCCGAAUCUGAGGUGUCCCUUGGUGAACUCAGCUAGAAUGAAGACGAAUUAGGGCCAGUCGACUUAGGAUGCACUUCAGCCUCCUUAGACUUCGGUUCCACCCUUGGCGCCCUCGGUUGUCAGAUUCGGGCUAUCACAAUCGAAGGACCAAGCCGAGGGUGGCCACCGGUCACCUGGGAGAUAUCAUCAAGAUCAUCUGCCGGCAGCACCACCCCUUUUACCACCAUCAUUGAUGUCACCUCUAGCUCCUUGCAUCGAACUCAAGACUCCAUGAAGUUCUUGGGUCGUAGGGGGCAAUCAAUCCCUUUCAAGCUCGGUUCUGCUUGCGGAAAACGGCAUGCCUCGUCGGAAUGUCCCAACCGACUGCAGAGGUAGCAGAUGGUGGGGAUGUUAUCAAAAACAAAUAGUUGCUAGAAAACACCUUUCAAUCCUCUGAUCAGGAUACUGGGCUUCAAAGAUUUGCCGGUGUCGAUGGCCAUUCUCUUGCUUCCAAUAUUCAAUGGGCAGCUCGAGGAGUCUAAGCCACACCACCGUCUGGCGAACCGUAUUAGGCCCCGGCACAAAAUCCACGAUCCAAGGCUCUAUAGCAAGGAGUUGGCUGCCAACAAACCAUAUGCAUCCUUUAAGUUGACCGAAAAUGGAGCAGAUAAUGAUCCUCUGCUAUAGCAAAGGUCCCUAGGUCAUACUCAAGCUUACAUUACUCCUUCACCUCCUUCGCCACCUAGUCAAACGGCACUUGCCGGCUGAGGCUACGGACAAAGAUAGGGAUGUUCUCCCAUUUCCUCUGGGAUGCCGCCAUUUUAUCCUCCAAGAACUCGAGGACUUUGGUGAAAUAGCAUUGAAGCCUCUCCACCUCUUCCUCAGAUAUUAUGUGCGAUGUCCACAUUGGCUACCUUGGACCUCCCUGUACCACCUUCGCCCAUGACCGGCCUCCUCUCCCAGAUUUAGCAGAUGAUUGGCCACCCUCGCCACCGCUUCCAGGCUUCCUCUCCAUCCCUCUAAACGCCCACAAACUGCUUGACGAAAUGCUCUAUAGGGGACAUGAAAAUCAAGACACAGUGCUCACAACCACUCACGAGCGAACUUUUUAUCUUUCAAAACAACUUUGCCCUCACUGGAAUAAAGUAAAAGCACCCUCACUGGAAUAACAUAAGAGCACCCUCUCCCUAGCAAUUUCAAAUGAUAUUCUACUAAAUAGUUAGAGUGUUCUACAAGAAAUUGAAGGGGGGGAGGCAAUCGACAUAGCAACCCCUUUUGAGUAUGACCAUGAGAGCCCCCACCCCGCUGAGUGAAUAUUCGAUAUGGGGAGCAACAACACAAUUCCCUCCCCACCAUAUCCGAGGGGAGACUCCGGAUUGGGUGAGCACAUCACCCCUAGCCCCACCUCAGUACACGGAGGACCAGAUGCCGCAUCCAAGCACACCCGCUCAGGCCGAUGCGAGGAACGGAUGCUAAGGUUCGUUCCAAUCGGGCUACCACAGCGGUGGUGGUUGGAGUCUUCUAUAAGGAGCUGAGUCUUUUGCCUAAAAUAUCAACAAAUAAAAUAGUUCAUACUUCACAAUGAUACAGAACUUUCCCAAGAAAAUAUUUACAUAGCUGAUGUGGAGCAUUUGAAUUCCUUCCAUAUUUAAAAAUAAGGUCCUUCAAAAGCUCCAUAUCGGCUUAAGCAAUAUUUCAUGUGAAAUUUGUGAGUUGCUAGCAAGUCUUGAUUUAAAAUCAAGUAAGAUUUUGACCAGCUCCCUCUCUCUCCCCACAGUCCGCCCCUUCAUUUCCAAAGGUUAAGUGUGAAAUGCUUCCCCUACCCUACUUCUUUAUCUUUCUCCUCCUGAUCUCUAUCCUACAUUGUCGCUUGUCCGAAGUUUCGGCACUAGCCCCAACACCGGACCAGCUACCAUCCUUGGGCCUGAAAAGGACUACCUGAAGCAUUGUUGUCCAACCCUGAUUUAGACCAGCCAACAACCUUGACCUUGAAGAGGAGUGCCUAAAGCUCUAUUGGCUAGCCUCACACCAGACCAGCUACCAAUCCUGAUUUCGAAUGAGCAUAGCCUAAACCCCACCAAUCAGCUACAUCAUCCGACCAGCCACCAAACUCAACUUUAAACUCAGGUCUGUCCAAUCUUUAUCUAGCCUCCAUCCUUCUUCUCUUUGGACUCUUAACAUUGCUGCAUGAGAUUUUUGGUUGGAAGACUCUGACCUACAUUAAUUAUGUGAAAAAAAAUCCCCAUGUCUAGGGUGUAUUGCUGAGUCUAACACAUGUCCGCUAGUUGAUACUUCUCAACAUGUUAUUCUUGCCUCAGAUUCACGAUUCCAAGUAACAUUGCUAAACUGUGGUUGGGCUUUGUGUAAGAAUGCUUGAUGCUUCUUCAAGGUAAGAUUCUCUUUAUUUUCUAUGCUUCUUUAGAAUAUGACUCAUUUCAUGGAUACAAUGGUGUAACGAUGAGAGUAUGUAGGCUGCCUCGUGGUCUUCAUGUUAAAGAUGUUAGUAUCCUAUCCAAGUUUUGCACUCUUGGUACCAGACCCCAUACUGAUAGCAUGUUGAUACAUUGUUCGUAGGCUUGGUAUGGGGUUGGUUCGGCAAAAUGAUACUUGGUUUCACCCCCAUACGGAGUAUCAAUUUGGUACCAGUAUCAUAUGGUAUGUCCAUUACAGCGCGCCAUUCAGUGGUUUGGGGAUUAGCCAUUUGUUUGAGUCCAUUGUGUGGGAUAGACAGUGGAUCUUUUAAAGGCCUCCUUCCCCUUCAAUGCCCCUUUCCUUACCCUCUUUGGCAUUUAUUGUAGCACAUGCUGUGGGGACAUAGUUGCUGUGAUGUUCAGGAUCCUGAUGUGGUUGUAAGUUCAUCUCUCCCCAUGGGAGGAUUCUUGGAUUAUGGGUAGCAUAGGGGUGCCAAGCAUUUCAGCUAGAGCAAAACCUGUUGCAGCACCAGUUGCCGCUUCAACCACUUCAGGUGCUUCAGCAGCUGGUGUUGUCAUAACAGAGACCCCUAAAAGCACUGCCAGACCCAUUGACAAAGAAGCAAUGUGCACAUCUAUUAGCAGCUCAGUGCCCUUUGGUUGGUCCUUUCUGCUAGGGUAUUUCUCAUCUCAUAUUUUUCUUAACAGUUUUUGUUAAUGGUUCAUACAGAUCUCAUACAGUUAUUAAGCCUCUACCUAUUUUCUUCCAUCAUCACAAAUACAUGAUCAGGGACACCUCUUGAUCUUAA